rnacentral:tRNA from 1 species
AAUAAGAUGCCUGAUUAAAGGGCUAUUUUGAUAGAAUAGAUAAUGUAAAUAUUUACUCUUAUUA